UUGAACGCUGGCGGCAGGCCUAACACAUGCAAGUCGAGCGGAUGAAGGGAGCUUGCUCCUGGAUUCAGCGGCGGACGGGUGAGUAAUGCCUAGGAAUCUGCCUGGUAGUGGGGGAUAACGUCCGGAAACGGGCGCUAACACCGCAUACGUCCUGAGGGAGAAAGUGGGGGAUCUUCGGACCUCACGCUAUCAGAUGAGCCUAGGUCGGAUUAGCUAGUUGGUGGGGUAAAGGCCUACCAAGGCGACGAUCCGUAACUGGUCUGAGAGGAUGAUCAGUCACACUGGAACUGAGACACGGUCCAGACUCCUACGGGAGGCAGCAGUGGGGAAUAUUGGACAAUGGGCGAAAGCCUGAUCCAGCCAUGCCGCGUGUGUGAAGAAGGUCUUCGGAUUGUAAAGCACUUUAAGUUGGGAGGAAGGGCAGUAAGUUAAUACCUUGCUGUUUUGACGUUACCAACAGAAUAAGCACCGGCUAACUUCGUG
rnacentral:rRNA from 1 species